GCAGGCUGAAAUUCGCCUGCAUGAAGCCGGAAUUGCUAGUAAUGGCAGGUCAGCAUACUGCCGUGAAUACGUUCCCGGGCCUUGUACACACCGCCCGUCACACCAUGAGAGUUGGGGAUACCCAAAGCCCGUGAGCCAACUGUAAAGAGGCAGCGGUCUAAGGUAGAAUCAAUGAUUGGGGUGAAGUCGUAACAAGGUAUC
rnacentral:rRNA from 1 species